UACGAAGGGGGCUAGCGUUGCUCGGAAUCACUGGGCGUAAAGGGUGCGUAGGCGGGUUUUUAAGUCAGAGGUGAAAUCCUGGAGCUCAACUCCAGAACUGCCUUUGAUACUGAAAGUCUUGAGUAUGGGAGAGGUGAGUGGAACUGCGAGUGUAGAGGUGAAAUUCGUAGAUAUUCGCAAGAACACCAGUGGCGAAGGCGGCUCACUGGCCCAUAACUGACGCUGAGGCACGAAAGCGUGGGGAGCAAACAGGAUUAGAAACCCGGG
rnacentral:rRNA from 1 species